rnacentral:piRNA from 1 species
UGACAGGCUUGCCUUGGCAUGAGAUGUAGU